CAGGAAGCAGAGCGGAUUGGUCAAUGUGUCUUUUGUGGAAAAGCUGGACUCCACAGCUCAGUUUUUCACAGGUUGUGUUCACAUUCAUACGAGCCUGUCUUCUGACUGAGGAUUUCACUGACUGUCAGCACGUAAGGUCUGGGAAAGCUCUGAAACUUGUAACGCCGUGAAAAAAUAGACUUUUUAUGCAAUUAAUUGGUAAAAUAAUACAUAGAAUACUCUAUUUCAAAAUAUUCAAUAGCUGUAGUCCUAGUG